CUUAAGCUUUUCUUCCUCGUCUCUCUUCUGCAGAAGAACAUGAAAGGAGAAGAUCUGCUUCUUUCUAGCUAGAUUUAGAUAUAUCUGUGUAACUUGAGAUCUGAACCAAAAUGGGGACAGCUACUUGCUUGGAUUUACUGGUUGCCAUAAUUCUUCCUCCUCUUGGUGUCUUCCUCAAGUUUGGCUGCAAGGUGGAGUUUUGGCUCUGCCUUUUGCUGACCAUCCUCGGCUACAUCCCCGGGAUCAUCUAUGCCGUCUAUGCCAUCACCAAAUAAUUCAUUUCUCGAUGGGGAAAAGAAGGAAGAAAUAUGUACUAGAUGAAGAUGUUCCCUUUACUGGUGGUAGAAGUGAGGUUUUAACUGAUGUUAAUUGACGGAGCAGCGGUGGAGAUGGAGCAGAGUGACAUUUGAAAUGUGUUUCUGUACUCUCCUCUUCUCUGCUGUAUGAUGGUGCUGCAAUUGUUCGUUUAUAGUAAAGAAAGCACAAAGUUUGGGAAAGAGAAAGUAAAAGCGUUCUCGGUC